UACGAAGGGGGCUAGCGUUGUUCGGAAUUACUGGGCGUAAAGCGCGUGUAGGCGGGUCCUUAAGUCAGGGGUGAAAUGCCAAGGCUCAACCUUGGAACUGCCUUUGAUACUGGGGAUCUUGAGUCCGGGAGAGGUGAGUGGAACUGCGAGUGUAGAGGUGAAAUUCGUAGAUAUUCGCAAGAACACCAGUCGGCGAAGGCGGACUCACUGGCC
rnacentral:rRNA from 1 species